UUCGAUUGUGCCAGCAGCCGCGGUAAUACGGAGGGGGCCAGCGUUGUUCGGAAUUACUGGGCGUAAAGCGCGCGUAGGCGGAUUGGAAAGUUGGGGGUGAAAUCCCGGGGCUCAACCUCGGAACUGCCUUCAAAACUCCCAGUCUUGAGUUCGAGAGAGGUGAGUGGAAUUCCGAGUGUAGAGGUGAAAUUCGUAGAUAUUCGGAGGAACACCAGUGGCGAAGGCGACUUCCUGGCCCGAUACUGACACUGAGGCGCGAAAGCGUGGGGAGCGAACAGGAUUAGAUAUCCCUGGUAGUCCACGCAGUAAACGAUGAGAACUAGAUGUUAGGGUGCUAGUCACCUUAGUAUCGCAGCUAACGCAAUAAGUUCUCCGCCUGGGGAGUACGGUCGCAAGAUAAAACUCAAGAAU
rnacentral:rRNA from 1 species